GACGAACGCUGGCGGCGUGCCUAAUACAUGCAAGUCGUGCGGACCUUGCUGAAGGCUUGCUUUUACAAGGUUAGCGGCGGACGGGUGAGUACCACGUGGGCAACCUGCCUGUAAGACUGGGAUAACGCCGGGCAACCGGUGCUAAUACCAGACCGCUUUUUCCUCCCCCUGGUGGUAAAAGGAAAGGCGCCUUCGCCUGCCUCUUCCAGAUGGGCCCGCGGCGCAUUGGCUAGCUGGCGGGGUAAUGGCCCACCACGGCAACGAUGCGUAACCGACCUCAGAUGGGCGUCGGCCCCAGUGGGGUUGAAGACCUGCUCAAACGCCGACGGGGGGGAGCAGUAGGGGAACUUCCGCAACGGCCGAAAGGCUGACGGAGCAACGCCGCGUGAGGGGAGAAGGCCUUCGGGUCGGAAAACUCUGUUGCCGGGGAAGAACAAGUGCCGUCCGAACAGGGCGGCGCCUUGACGGUACCCGGCCAGAAAGCCACGGCUAACUACGUG
rnacentral:rRNA from 1 species